GAUGAACGCUGGCGGCGUGCCUAACACAUGCAAGUCGAACGAAGAGACGUGGAGCUUUCCUUCUUUCUGUUUUAGGCGCACGCGUGUGAGACACGUGUAUACCACCUCUAUUUCAGUGGGGUACCAUCGGUGGACAGGAGCUCUUACCGGAUAAUCUAUUUAACCUCGUGAUUCAGGAGUGAUGGACGGUGUUGCUGUCACUUAUACUUGGAUUGGCGCUGGAUUAGCUAGUUGGUAAGGUAACGGCUUACGAAGGCAACGAUGCAUAGCCGACCUGAGAGGGGGACCGGCCACACUGGAACUGAGACACGGCCCAGACUCCUACGGGAGGCAGCAGUGGGGAAUCUUCGGCAAUGGGCGAAAGCCUGACGGAGCAACGCCGCGUGAGUGAUGAAGGUCUUCGGAUCGUAAAACUCUGUUAUUAGGGAAGAACAAAUUUGUACGAAUAUGGGCACGGAUUGACGGUACCGGAACAGAAAGCCACGGCUAACUACGUG
rnacentral:rRNA from 1 species